rfam:Anas platyrhynchos breed Pekin duck contig4734, whole genome shotgun sequence.
AGAACUGAAUAUCUGAGAGACACCAUGAUCAGGCAGUUGUUUUUCCAGGGCGAGGCUCAUCCCCCACACUCCAGGUGUGCUGACCCCUGCGAUUUCCCCAAAUGCGGGAAACUCGACUGCAUAAUUUGUGGUUGUGGGGUCUGCUUUCAUGCUCUCCCCUG